GUGUGUACACAUUCCCGCGAUGCUGCACGCCUGACGAAGAAACACUCCCGAUACCUGAAUCCCCAAAAAUGUUUGCGACCGUCUGAAGCGGCUCCUUCCGCGUCUGGUCCCCUCCGGAAAGUUUGAAAAGUCAACAUCAAGCCUCGACCUCCCAAAGCCUCCAAGCAGCAGAAAGAAGACUCUGCCAAGAUGUUCAGCACCAAAAGACUGAAGAAGAAGUCGCAGUCGGUGGAUAUUGCCAGUGGGGGUUUCUCUCCGACCCUGGUGCCGGCCUCGCCCCUCAACAAGGCCACGCCGGCCGGCCUGGCCGUGCAGGAGAACAACACGGCCAACUCCCAGCGCCGCAGCCCCCGGUGUGGCGAGCUGAAGAGAGGCUACACCA